rnacentral:lncRNA from 1 species
UUUAGAACUCAGAUGUGAAGUCUGGUCUGUAGUCUGUUUCCUUUGCCAUUCAGAAUUCAUGGAGAAACAUGAUUUCAUUGCUGGAUGAGAGCAUCCCAUCUACCUCUAAGGAACUGGGAUGAGGCAGGGGAUACAUACAUUCAGUAUUCUAGGUAUUUAGAAGAAAAGACCUGAAAGAGAAAAAACUAACCCAAAGGAGCUUUCUGAUUGGUGAUGCCAAAGAUUGAUUACAUCUGUGAUUGCAUUCCUGAGAGUUCCAGCUUUUUUGAUAUACUAUAUACAACUCCGGUCCUGUUGUCAUCCUACAAGCCCUUCAUUAAGGAAAUAAAUGCCUGAGUGACAAUGAUAAAAUUCAUGUUUUACAGCCUUAGGACAGAAGAAAGAAAACAAAUUGCAGGAGUGUUCCACAAGAGGGGACUCCCACAGUGUGAGGUCAAGAGGAAUUAAGGAUCCAGGGCAGUACUGAAUUAGGUUGGUAUUAAUUUCACAUUCUGUAUUUUAACAGGUUCCCUC